CACUUGUCCCUCCUUAGCUUUAGAAGGCCAAGAACUUUUUACCCCUUUAAGACCUUGAUUAGGAAAGAAAGUUAGAAAACCAGAGAGCUCGGUCAAGAGAGUCCUAGAGAAAAGAGGCAUGACUGGUUUUGCAGACUGAGGGUGUUGCGUCCAAGUACAAUUAAAUGGCAGAAUUCGAGAUGGGAGUAGUGGAUAGGCUGUCACCCUGCAUGAGGGGUGGGAGCUGCUUUGACUCAAAUACGCCAGGAGAGGAGUCCGUGCCGGUCCCUAACAGCACAGCUCAUCUUUUUGUAACUGACAGAAGCCAGGCGUCUUAAAACCCACGUGUAUUCACUCAGCAAGCCACACUGAAGUGGAUCACUAUGUGCUCACAUAAUAGAUGCUUGGGACAGUGGGAUCAGGAAGCCAGUUCAGCGCAACAAAUCCCUGAUCCCAAAAAACUCAGUUUGAAUGGAAAGACAGGGAAAUUGGUGAUUACAAUAAAAUGUGAGGGUGGCAGCAGUGAGUCCAGCUACCCUGGGACCCCCAGCAAGACGCUGGGGGCACCCACAGAGGGUGGGUCAAGCUGGGUUUAUGAGCAGGUCAAAGCUGUCUUUUGAAAAUGGAUGCGCUGGCCAAGUGCAGUGGCUCACGCCUGUAAUCGCAGCACUUGGGAGGCUGAGGAGGGUGGAUCACGAGGUCAGGAGAUGGAGACCAUCCUGGCCAACAUGGUGACAUCCUGUCUCUACUAAAAAUACAAAAAUUAGCCGGGCAUGGUGGUGGCACAUGACUGUAAUCCUAGCUACUAGGGAGAUUGAGGCAAGAGAAUCCCUUGAACCAGGGAGUCGGAGGUUGCAGUGAGCCCACUGCACUCCAGCCUGGGCGACAGAGUGAGACUCUGUCUCAAAAAAAAUAAAAGAAAAUGGAUGCGCUAUAAUAUUGAGAAAGGUGAGGCCCACAGUGUUUUCUAGCAUAUGAUCAAAAAGAAUAUAUGGAUACUGUUAAGAAAAAUCAUCUGUAAUGUGGGAAAAAGGCAAAGAGAGGCCUGUGUCAUUUCAACCUCAUAUUGGAGUACUGUUUAGCAAGCCCACCCAAGGAUCCUGUAAUUACCCAGGGGAUUCUAGAGGAAUGUAACUUUGUAUAAAGUUACACAUGAACUUGUAGAUUUUUUGGCUGGUAAAACAGAUAAGCCCCAAGGUUAUAGUUUUUUGCCUUAUAGGGCAUUAACCAGUUGUAUAUCCAAUCCAGCCAUCAUAUUCAGGCAUUCUUGCUCCAAUGCCUACAUUAUCACUGUUCCUCGAAUUCCCCUGAGAGCUAGCUUUUCCAUCCUGCUGGCCUCCUCAUUAAAUCAAUCUUUGACCCAUGUUCAUUCUAGAUUUAUGAGAAUCAUGAUUUUAUUUUUUAAAUUAUACUGAUAACACAUACUCAUUUAUAUAGAGAUAGAGAUAGACACAUGUAUGCAUACAUAUGCGUGUGCACACACCCACACACACAAACUGUCAAAGAAACAAAAUUUCAACAAAUUGAGUUGUAAAGAUCUCAUUUGUUUUUAUUAGUGAUUCAUGAACUGGGCAGCAUCCCAUCUACAAAACAGAAAGGCGCUCUGUUGCCAAGAUAGAGCCACUGCACUUCAGCCUGGGCAACAGAGUGAGACCCUGCGUCAAAAAAAAAAAAAAAAA
ensembl:lncRNA